GAAUAGCUCAGUCGGUAGAGCGUCCGGCUGUUAACCGGCAGGUCACAGGUUCGAGUCCUG
rnacentral:tRNA from 1 species